GCAGUCGAACGGUGAACACGGAGCUUGCUCUGUGGGAUCAGUGGCGAACGGGUGAGUAACACGUGAGCAACCUGCCCCUGACUCUGGGAUAAGCGCUGGAAACGGCGUCUAAUACUGGAUACGAGUAGCGACCGCAUGGUCAGUUACUGGAAAGAUUUAUUGGUUGGGGAUGGGCUCGCGGCCUAUCAGCUUGUUGGUGAGGUAAUGGCUCACCAAGGCGUCGACGGGUAGCCGGCCUGAGAGGGUGACCGGCCACACUGGGACUGAGACACGGCCCAGACUCCUACGGGAGGCAGCAGUGGGGAAUAUUGCACAAUGGGCGCAAGCCUGAUGCAGCAACGCCGCGUGAGGGAUGACGGCCUUCGGGUUGUAAACCUCUUUUAGCAGGGAAGAAGCGAAAGUGACGGUACCUGCAGAAAAAGCGCCGGCUAACUACGUGCCAGCAGCCGCGGUAAUACGUAGGGCGCAAGCGUUAUCCGGAAUUAUUGGGCGUAAAGAGCUCGUAGGCGGUUUGUCGCGUCUGCUGUGAAAUCCGGAGGCUCAACCUCCGGCCUGCAGUGGGUACGGGCAGACUAGAGUGCGGUAGGGGAGAUUGGAAUUCCUGGUGUAGCGGUGGAAUGCGCAGAUAUCAGGAGGAACACCGAUGGCGAAGGCAGAUCUCUGGGCCGUAACUGACGCUGAGGAGCGAAAGGGUGGGGAGCAAACAGGCUUAGAUACCCUGGUAGUCCACCCCGUAAACGUUGGGAACUAGUUGUGGGGUCCAUUCCACGGAUUCCGUGACGCAGCUAACGCAUUAAGUUCCCCGCCUGGGGAGUACGGCCGCAAGGCUAAAACUCAAAGGAAUUGACGGGGACCCGCACAAGCGGCGGAGCAUGCGGAUUAAUUCGAUGACACGCGAAGAACCUUACCAAGGCUUGACAUAUA
rnacentral:rRNA from 1 species